GAUUUCUGGCUUGACGCACCUGGCCCGCUUCUUUUAUGAUGUUGAGUGCCGGUUGUGUGUCUGCCAUCCUUCUGGAAAAUAGUCUUGGGUCCUUCAUUGGCACCUGGGAUUGUGAUCUAGAUCUAUUACUUUGAAAAAAUUAGAGUGUUUAAAGCAGACGCAUUUGUCUUGAAUACAUUAGCAUGGAAUAAUAAUUUAGGACUUCGGUUCUAUUUUGUUGGUUUCUAGGACUGAAGUAAUGAUUGAUAGGGAUAGUUGGGGGUGCUAGUAUUCAGCGGCCAGAGGUGAAAUUCUCGGAUUCGCUGAAGACUAACUUAUGCGAAAGCAUU
rnacentral:rRNA from 1 species